UUACUACUCCCUCCGUCUAGAAAUACUUGUCCUAGAAAUAUAAAAAAUGGAUGUAUCUAUAACUAAAAUAAGUCUAGAUACAACCAUUUCGAGGACAAGUAUUUCCAAACGGAGGGAGUACUUA
rfam:Triticum urartu cultivar G1812 contig160299, whole genome shotgun sequence.